UUCUGAUCUUUCUUCUUUUUCUUCUUCUUCUUCUUCGUUAGAUUCAGGAGAGAGAAUCAUCUCAGCAUCAACUCAAGGUUUGGUCUUUUGGUUUGCUCCUCAUUCUUUUCGUUACCCACUCAAGUGGUGAAAUGGCAUGCAAGAAGAUCAGAGAGUAUGAUUCAAAGAGAUUGUUGAAUGAGCAUUUCAAGAGGCUCUCUGGCCGUGAAUUGCCAAUCAAAUCCGCUCAGAUUACCGAAUCAACCGAUCUCAAUGAGUUAGCAAACAAUGAGCCUUGGCUUUCGUCUUCCAAAGUUGUUAAACCCGACAUGUUGUUUGGAAAGCGUGGAAGAACAACUUGGUUGCUUUGAAUCUGGACUACGCUCAAGUUGCCACUUUUGUCAAGGAGCGACUUGGCAUAGAGGAGGAAACCGAAGACACACAG